GAUGAACGCUGACAGAAUGCUUAACACAUCAGCAAUUGAUUGGUGGCGGACGGGUGAGUAACGCGUAAAGAACUUGCCUCACAGCUAGGGACAACAUUUGGAAACGAAUGCUAAUACCUAACACUGUGAGAGAGCUUUGCGUCCCAUUAGCUAGUUGGAGAGGUAACGGCUCACCAAGGCGAGGAUGGGUAGCCGGCCUGAGAGGGUGAUCGGCCACAAGGUGACUGAGACACGGCCCGUACUCCAUCGGGAGGAAGCGGUGGGGAAUAUUUGACGAUGGGCCGAAGUCUGAUGCAGCAAUUCUGUGUGCACGAUGAAGUUUUCGGAAAGUAAAGUGCUUUCAGUUGGGAAGCGGUACCAACAGAAGAAGUGACGGCUAAAUACGUGCCAGCAGCCGCGGUAAUUG
rnacentral:rRNA from 1 species